CUCCAGGCAAAAAGAUGAUAGCCAGAGAGGUUGGAGGGCGGCCUCGGGUGGGGUUGCUUCUCGCGUGCCCCUAGUGGUGGGAGGGUUAGGUGCCAGGCUCCACCUUGAUCUUCCCAAGUUUCUCAAGGCCACUGGCGCGGGGGUCACUGCCCCCAAGGAGGGACCUAAAGGGGGUGGAGGAGAGGCCGGAGGAGCGAAUGCGACAAGCUGGGAAAAUGCCCUCCCAGCUUUGGUUCUAGAAUCCCUACUCUCCCUACGGUGCUGCUGAACCUCCGCAGACGCCAAGAGAGAGAACUGACACAGUUCUUCAAGGCCGCGGGGAAUGGUGGUGUGUUGGGUUUGGGAGAAGUGGGCUCGUUUCUCAGCCUAACCUGAGCUUCCGCUGUCCCCAGGGGGAUGGCAUCCACUGCUACCAGGAAUGUGGAGGAAAAGGGCAGCGGGCAGUCCCAAGCCACAGACUCUGCAGCCUGCUUGGGUGGAGGUCCGAAGGUUUCCCAUUCUGAGGAAUUCCUGACACAGAUCAGCGCAGAACUCACUGACGAGGCCUUGUUUGUCGCUGCCUACCACAUGAAUCCUGUGCCCAUCAAAAAAAACAGACACAAGACCAAGGGAUUCAGAUAUCCAAACACGGUGAACCCCACGCCAGGACCCUUCUGUCCAGAGACCCUCCGAUACCACUAGUUCCAGUCCCUGCUUCCAGGAGCUCUGCCUAGCAACUUGACAUCUGGAGGAUGAUCCCAACUCUGGUGCUGCUCUUGGCCUCUCGUGCCCUCUCCCCACUCUGUUCCUCUAGAACAUGCACCAAAGCUCCUCUUUCACAACUCAUUCAACAGUUUGGUUUUGGGGUGAUUCCUGGUCAUGAGCAACAUCACCCCUGAAGCCUCCAAAGGGUUCUGGAACCAUCACACACCUCUCCACCCUCAGCUAGCAAGGACACCACCAGAAAUCAAAAACUUUAAUAAAGUGACAGAGAUCCUUCCCUC